rnacentral:lncRNA from 1 species
GGAGAUCUUCUCAGGGUUAGCUUCAAUCCCUCGGUGACUUAUGAUGCACCCGAGUAGUUUUCUGGAGGGUACGCCAAAAACGCACUUUGUUGGGCUUAGCUUCCACUGGAAUUCUCGCAGGCUUGCGAAGGUUUCUUCCAUAUCUACAAUAAAGUCGUCAGGAUUCUGGUCUUUAGGACCACUUCAUCAACAUACGCUUCUACAUUACGGUGUAGUUGCUUUUUGAAGUACUCUUGGAUUGCCCGUUGAUAGGUAGCGCCUGCGUUUCUUCAACCCA